CGUACAAGCUGCAAUAGCGCCAUGGCGGCGUCCGACAGAGGAGCAGCCAGGACGCUAUUGCAGACCCCAACAUCAAACAUAUUAUUAUGGCUUGAAAAAGCCAGUUGUAUCCGAGCAGCUUCAUUCCGGACACAUUCCAUUAUAACAUGGUACACGUCUUCUAAUACAUCACAUUCAUCACAAUUGGAAGGAACUUUCUUCAUUAAAUAACCGAAUUUAUUCAAUGGGAUAUGUCCAGAACGUAGUCUCAUCAUCAAUACAAUGUCACGUCUAUUAAGAAAACAAUCAAUCCACGGUGUCAUUAAAGGAUGAGGUUGGAUCGUCUUGUACCAAAUACCCUUCUCUGU